CUAUACCUACGGGGGGCAGCAGUAGGGAAUCCUCCACAAUGGACGAAGGUCUGAUGGAGCAACGCCGCGUGAGCGAAGAAGUAUUUCGGUAUGUAAAGCUCUAUCAGCAGGGAAGAAAAUGACGGUACCUGACUAAGAAGCCCCGGCUAAAUACGUGCCAGCAGCCGCGGUAAUACGUAUGGGGCAAGCGUUAUCCGGAUUUACUGGGUGUAAAGGGAGCGCAGGCGGCUUGGCAAGUCUGAUGUGAAAGGCUGGGGCUCAACCCCAGGACUGCAUUGGAAACUGUUAGGCUGGAGUGUCGGAGG
rnacentral:rRNA from 1 species